rnacentral:lncRNA from 1 species
AGUGCUAGCUCACGAAGACACCAUGCUGUUGACUGAUCUAAGAAGAAUAUGAAGAAGAUGAAGAAUAAUUUUUUUUUUCUUUCUAGAUCUAUGUAUUAAAUCUCUACGAUAGAGAAUAAGAGAAGAAUCUUUUCUUCUCAAUUCUUCGACACAUAAGAGAGAACUUUUCUCUCUUUCUUUUUGCACCAUCAAGAAGAACUUUUCUUCUCU